rfam:Triticum aestivum genome assembly, contig: Triticum_aestivum_CS42_TGACv1_scaffold_641885_T_5BS-0.163004_5BL-0.159397
UUAGUACUCCCUCCGUCCCGAAAUACUUGUCGGAGAAAUAGAUGUAUCUAGAUGUAUUUUAGUUGUAGAUACAUCCAUUUUAAUGCAUUUCUAUGACAAGUAUUUCCGAACGGAGGGAGUACGUU